rnacentral:rRNA from 1 species
GACGAACGCUGGCGGCGUGCUUAACACAUGCAAGUCGAACGAAGUGGCGAACGGGUGAGUAACGCGUAAUCUACCUGCCCUUCAGGGGGGGACAACAGUUGGAAACGACUGCUAAUACCGCAUACUGAAGGAGGGGAUUGCGUCUGAUUAGCUAGUUGGAGGGGUAACGGCCCACCAAGGCGAUGAUCAGUAGCCGGGCUGAGAGGAUGAACGGCCACAUUGGGACUGAGACACGGCCCAGACUCCUACGGGAGGCAGCAGUGGGGAAUCUUCCGCAAUGGACGAAAGUCUGACGGAGAAACGGCGCUUGAGUGAUGACGGUCUUCGGGUUCUAAAGCUCUGUUAAUCGGGACGCGGUACCGGAAUAGAAAGCCACGGCUAACUACGUGCCAGCAGCCGCGGUAAUUC